rnacentral:lncRNA from 1 species
GGAGAAACCGGUGAGGCUGAGCUUCCCAGGAACACCAGCCAACAAGCAAGUGGAUCUGGAAAGAUUGCCUAAGGAUUUAUGGACACCUCUAGUGUCUCCCCCUUUGGGCACAGGACCACCUUCUGCUUCUUUGGCACAUCCACAGGACAUCUAGGCUGCCUCUCUGCACACAGCAGGGACCUGGUUCUAAUUCAGGAAGAGGAAGAUGGAGCCCUGCAAUCUGCAUUUUUAACAAGCCCCUGGGAUCCUGAGGCGCUAGUGGGCACUAGGACCACACAAUUGAACAAACAUCAGCCAAGGCUUUUAGGUACCACCGUGGGACUGCGAGACGCUUGGGGUCCGAAGUCCCAUCUACCUUUUUGAGCCUCGACCCCUGCUCAGUGUGGCUCCAGCCUCUUCCUUGCGUAGCAUUUUAUCCCCUGCCCCUCAGCCCCUACAGUUUCCCUGCACCUAAUUUAGUUUGUUUGCUUGUGUUUCCUGACCUCGCUGGAAUGUUGGGUCUGAUUCUUUCAGAGGGUAAGCUUUUCAUGGGCAUCAGACUGAAUGAACUUUUAGGAUACUUCAAACUGUUGCGCAGUGUGGGAGGAAUUCUGUGACAAAUGACAUUUUCAUUUUAUAGCCGUUCUUCUAGAACCUGCAAUUUGCAAGCACUUCAUUUUCUUUUCUUAAAUGGAGAAGGUCUGAUCUGCGCCUAAACCACUGCCACCAGCCCACCCUCAGUCAGCCCACACAGAGAGCGGGGCUGUCCAUCACUAUGUCUAAUUUUUAGGAAUUGGGGGGGUGCAUUGGUUUACUUAUUUAAUUAAUUAUGGAAAAUAAAUGAGAAAAUGCCCACAUCUUUUUUUCUUUUGGGGUUUAUUUUUCCUUAGCUCAACCCUCCAUCAUAAAAAUGGAAGGUUGACAGGCAAAUAGAUUAUACCAAGAGUCCUCAAUUGGGUAUUUAAUACUGCAUUUUUAAGAGCCAUAUUUUAAAAUUGCUCUGAUAAUACCAGGCACGAUGUCCAUGGCAGUGAGUCAACAGCACCUUCCCUGCGGCCAGCUGCCCUCUGAUAACCCCUGAGAUGCUUACACAGCCCCAGGAAGGAUCAUCAUAGAGCCUUAAUAAGGUAGGAGGCUGAGUGUUGGCGCCGGGAUGCUCUAGAGACAGAAGGCAGGAGCUGGGC